CAGCCCGCUGCAGAACGCAGGUUAAGUGGGGCAGAGAGGUUUCUUUGUCUGAAAGGACAACAAAACCAGCAAGCAGAAUAUCACAAAAAUAUAUAACAAAUGUGGAAAAAAGGACUUAAUUUGAUGAGUACAAACUCCCAGUGGGGAGCUGCAUACCAACAAGGAGAACCAAAGUAACACAUGAAAUGUCUCUGGCCAACAAGAUGAUGGAAAGUGUUCAAGUCCAGUGGGAAAUGACUCCAGUGGACAUCUGGCCUGGACAGUGGCAAUAACCAUGGCUUAAAGGAAUUCAGUAAAUUUUCUGCGUUGUAUUUGGAAGGAAGCAAAGAAAUGGUCUCUUACAAUGAUAAAUUGUUUUCUCCAAGUAUCUGAGAAGAGGCUGUAAGCAACCAAGUCGAGCAUUUUUAGAUCUAUAGAAGAGAACUUUCUUUGCUAAUGAGAACGCAGAAUACCAGUCAAUCUUCUGAUGCAACGUGUAUUUCUGCUGCUAAGACUUGUUAAUGGAAGACCUGGAGCAUGGGACGGAUACACUGGUCAACCUGACAUGGUCUGGAUGAAGCUGAGCAACUCUGACGCUCAGGGCAGUGUGAACAGGCUUUCGGAAGAGCACCAACACCCAUCAACGGAGCUUUCCAGAGCGCCAGGCCCUCGCAGGCAGCACAUAAGGCAAUAGCUGGAUGGGGAAAUGAGCUCCACCAAGGUCAGUACUGAAAGGAGGCAACGUCUGCUGGGGAUGCGGGAGAUUCUUCACCCCUCCAAUCUUCUUCUCAAGACUGAUCAGCUCAGAGAGACGUUUCCAUGUGCAGACACCCCCCUGAAAGGUCGCUGCACGCUGUGUUUUGGCGGAUGCUGGGCUGAUGGGAUGGCUUGGGUGGUUCCUCACCCUUGGAUUAGCUUUCCAUUCCUGGCAGGAAGCAGGAGAUGGUGCCAGAGCUUGCGUACAGCAUCCUUCAGACAGGCUUUGCAGUAAGAACGACCCUGCGGCACCAUCAAAUGCAGUUUUAUUCCAAAACAGAGGUUAUGGUCUAAAGAGGAGGAUGAUGCCCUUCGGCUAAAGAAGGGUCUAGGCAUUGCAGCAGCAGCCCCACUUCUGCGUCCUCGUCUGAGGGCCAGUGAGCAAACACUCGUUUGCUCCCGUGGCUCUUCCCUGUUGGACCGGACCUGGUGGCACUGUUGCUGUGCAGGAGCAGAUCUAGAGAAGUCUAGGCCUAGCAGAAAGCCUUGCAGUUUGGGGUCAAUAAGGGAGGCGAAGGGGCGUUAGAUCUGCAGAGAGGGAGAAGAAAAACCAGAGGACGAUGCUGCCAGGCUGGCGGAAGCAAUCGCGGGGGCAGAGCAAGGUGAGGCAGGCAGAAAGGGAGGAGAGCUGCAGGAUGUUUUGGGGAGGAUAUCAUUGCCUAACAUUUCCCAGCGCCUGCCAAGAGGAGCCACGUGUUCUCCGAGGUGGCUGCCAAAAGGUUUGGAGCAGGAGAUACACAAACAGUCUCUGCAGAAAGCCAAGCCAGGGUUUAAGGAGGCACUUGCAGCAGCAGGGCGCACUUUUGCCCGUCACAACGUACGGGGAAAGCAACGGGUGAGCGCAGGGGACCACCUGGAACAGCAGCCACCAGCCCCAGGACGGGGUGCUCUCCGCGACAGGGCCGUGUCCGAUUUUAAGAGCAGCACUUCAAGAAGGAAUCACGAAUGAUCAAGGGUCUAAAAGCACAACCAACAAGGUCACACCGAAAGAUCUUGGUAGCAGUCUAUAGAAGAGCAUAAGACGUCUCCACUUAGCACGGACAAAACAAGCAGCGAUGGACUUAAAUACUAAAAACACCGAAGACCCCAUCAACUUUCUAGGUGCGAGGAUAGGUGGCAGCAGCGUAGAUGCUGCAGGAGGUGGUGGAGGCUCAACCAGAGACCGGAGCAGGCAGCCUAAGGUCCAGCCUGGUCUGCUGCAAGCCUGGGAGAUGAGUCUAACCACAGGCACCACUAGCUUUUGGCAAGUCUCGGCAUGUCGCAUCAGCUCGUGAGAUGGAGAGCUGCGAGCAGCCGCCUUCAGACGGGCUUUUACGCCGCGUGGCAGGAGCGCGAGCCCGGAGGGGACCUCUACGAGCGGAGCAAGCGGCACGGCAAGACACGCUCCCACACGGUGCCCGUCUCCACCUCCUGCCAUUGCAACCCGGUAACAGCCCCGCGCCUCGUUCACGUUGCCCAAAACCAGCUAUAAAUCACGGAACGAGCCUAAAACGGCAGCAGGGAACGCGACGCGGAGCAGGUGCCGCGGGGCGAUUUCUCGCUCCCGUCCGGGAACGGCGGUCAAGGGCUUCGCGAGGCUGCCAAGAGCCGCGUGGAAGCAGGCAGCUCCCAGCGCCAGGACGGCUCGCUUGGCAAGCGAUUCAAGGAGACACGAGGACGGGUGGGUUUAUAAAACGGGUGAAAAAAUCCUCUCGCUACCGAUUCGGGCCCCAGCUCGGCUGCAAACACGACCCAAUAACUUGUUUGUUCAGCUGCUUUUCUGCAGCCGUACCCGGAGCAAGAGUUAAAUAAAUAUUGCAUGCAA